AUUGCGGAUACAUCCAUGGAAGCUGGAACCAUUCAAGAUUUGCCAAACUCGAAAGGCAGCAGAAUUCACAUCCACUGGCAUGCCUGGUGAGAGAGGGCCAUAGGAGCAACAUCAGGCAGGGAAGAAAAAAAGAUCAGAGUGCUGGAGAUAGUUGCACCACUCCAGAAGGCCCUGAACUGAAAACGAGCUAAAGCUGCUUUAAGUACUGGGACAGAUGGAAUGGCAUCCUACUGCGGUCUUCGAUGUUAGCACCAAAAAGAAAAAGCAGAGCCUUUGGAAAGAACUAGAGAAAAGCACAAAUGUGAGAAUCCUGAUCCUGAGUUAUUUUUCAAUUACAAUUAAAACUUGGAUCACA